rnacentral:lncRNA from 1 species
AUACUAGUUAAACUAGUUUAAACUAGGUUUAAACCUAGAAACUUGCUAAGAUAGAAUAUUACUUGCAAUGUGGGUUGCUGUGGCACGGGAGAAGGCUCGGUGGGUCGACAGCGAUCGGCGGCGGCGACGACGGCUGGGGCGGCGGCGACUGGCGGCGGCGAUGACGGGGUGUGGCUUUUGGUCGGAGAGGGAUGGGCAGAGAGGGAGAGAGAGACAGAGAGAUAAGAGAGAACGAGAGCAAAGAGUGAGGGAGAGGUGUCGGGGUGUCGGGUAUACCUAGGUAAGACGGUGAAUUGUUCACCGUCUUCAUUAGGCACAUGGAGACGGUGAAUCGUUCACCGUCUUACCUCGGCCCACCUCCUGGGGGUUAACAAUAAAGAAGGUGAAUAGUUCACCGUCUUUAGUGCAGCACAAAUAAGACGGUAAACUAUUCACCGUCUUAUCUGUGUUUUAUGUCUCCAGGACUUGGCCAAAGUUGGGGGGUGUGGGGGGAUAAUGUACCGUUCUUAGGUAAGACGGUGAAUUGUUUACC